rnacentral:rRNA from 1 species
UAGGGAAUAUUGCAAAAUGGGCGAAAGCCCGAUGCAGCAACGCCGCGUGGGCGAUGAAGGCCUUCGGGUCGUAAAGCCCUUUUUGAGGGGAUGAGGAAGGACAGUACCCUCAGAAUAAGCCUCGGCUAACUACGUGCCAGCAGCCGCGGUAAAACGUAGGAGGCGAGCGUUAUCCGGAUUUACUGGGCGUAAAGCGCGUGCAGGCGGAUUGGAGAGUUGGAUGUGAAAGCUCCCGGCUUAACUGGGGGAGGUCGUUCAAUACUUCCAGUCUUGAGUGCAGUAGAGGGAAGUGGAAUUCCGGGUGGAGUGGUGAAAUGCGUAGAUAUCCGGAGGAACACCAGUGGCGAAAGCGGCUUCCUGGACUGUAACUGACGCUCAGACGCGAAAGCUAGGGUAGCAAACG